rnacentral:rRNA from 1 species
CCUACGGGUGGCAGCAGUGAGGAAUAUUGGUCAAUGGACGCAAGUCUGAACCAGCCAUGCCGCGUGCAGGAAGACGGCUCUAUGAGUUGUAAACUGCUUUUGUACGAGGGUAAACGCAGAUACGCGUAUCUGUCUGAAAGUAUCGUACGAAUAAGGAUCGGCUAACUCCGUGCCAGCAGCCGCGGUAAUACGGAGGAUUCAAGCGUUAUCCGGAUUUAUUGGGUUUAAAGGGUGCGUAGGCGGUCGGAUAAGUUAGAGGUGAAAUCCCGAGGCUCAACUUCGGAAUUGCCUCGGAUACUGGUCGGCGAGAGAGGGGGUGCGGGAGGGGGAAGGGAGGGGGUAGCGGUGAAAUGCGGAGAG